CUGGACUGGAAACAUGAACUCUGAUUUCUCUCCACAGAUGCUUCCAGAGCUGCUAAACUUUUUCAUCAAUUUCUGUUUAGGAUCCUGAAACCUGAAGGGGAAUGGCAAAAGCUGAGAUUCCUAAACUCCUAUUUCUGGGACUCCUUUGCCACUUUACAGAUCAUCACAAACUCCUGUUCCUGAACACUGACCAAAUCAGAAGACUCUCUCCUAAAGGUUGUAACUGAACCUUUAUAUAAAACAUGCAGGGUCUCAUCAGUGCCAGCACUAACCCAAGCCAGAGAACAUCAACAUUGUUCCAGCCCCUGCAUAAUGACUGAUCAAACAGCAUCAAAUAUGCGGAUUGAAGAUGAGUGCUUUUAACCUAAAGAAGAUUACAAUGAGGGUCUGAAGGCAGAACUGAUGUUAUGAAGGCAUUAUAUUUAAUAUUUUUUGUGAACUUGAAUAUGGAAAUACCUAUUCUGAGGAAGGGUCACCGGACCCGAAACAUUAACUCUUCACCGAUGCUGCCAAACCUGCUCAGCUUUUCCAGUAAUUUCUGUGUGCGAGUGUGAGUGUGUGUGAGUGUGAAAAUACCUAGAUUGCUUUAUUUUUUAAAAAGAAAUCAAAAACUUGAAACAUUUAUGAACAAUUAUUUCUUGGAAAACACCUGGUUCCACUGUUGAGACCCAUCACUGCUUUUACUUUUCUCCUUUUUGGUUGGGAAUUGAGAGUUGCAGUUAAGAAUUGAACUUUGAGCAGCACGUUUUUUUUAAAAAAGGAGAGAACAAAAGACAGAUGUUUGUGUUUGGGAACUGGCCUGGAAAGAUAAUGUUGGUUAGGGGAGGGCAUGUAUUUGUUUCAGCACCGGGAUGUGCCUGCGCUCGGUCUGGCAGCUGGUUGGAUGUUGAAUUGGUCAAAGGAGGAGUGGUGAUGACCAGCCAAUCACAGAGAGUGUGACCAGCCAAUCAUAGAGAAUGUUAAAGGGAUAAAAACGAAGUGAACCGGCUCUGAUUAGGCUUUCGGUAGGGGGCAGUUUUGUCUUGGAACUGGCUAAAUUUCCAGAUUGGGUAGGUUUAGGUUUUGCGCACACUGCCCCUCCACCUCCUUCCUCCAUCCACCCUUCACACCCAUUCCCCCUCCCACUCAUUAUUUUCCAGUUAUCGACUUAUUCAAAGCUCAGA